ensembl:misc_RNA 7SK 7SK RNA
GGAUGUGAGGGCGAUCUGGCUGCGACAUCUGUCACCCCAUUGAUCACCAGGGUUGAUUCGGCUGAUCUGGCUGGCUAGGCGGGUGUCCCCCUCCUCCCUCACUGCUCCAUGUGUGUCCCUCCCAAAGCUGUGCACUUGGUCGAAGAGGAUGACCAUCCCCGAUAGAGGAGGACCGGUCUUCGGUCAAGGGUAGCUGCACUCCCCUACUAAAACCGACAAACAAGCUCUCAAGUUCAAGGCCAGGCUGAGCUACAUAGUGAGAUCCAACAAAAAAGGGAAGAUGGGAAAAGGUUU